rnacentral:lncRNA from 1 species
UAUCUGUUCUUAAUGAGUUUUAGAUAAUUUUAGUUGUAUUUCUUUGUAAUUUUGUGUUGUACAAAGAUUAAUUUAACAUUUUCUCUGGAAGUAUUAAUUUAGAAAGAUAAUAUGCUUCAUUGGUGUUGUGUUUUGAAGUGUGAAAUGCAAAGUAAUUGUGAUAAAGUCAAGAUAAAGUUCACUUUUAAACUGAACUAAAUAAGGUAUCUGAGAGACAACAAUGGUUAAAUGCAAUACAAUGUACAGGUUUUACUAGCGAAAUGAAAAUUUUCCUGUCCUGUCUGCUGUAAUCAUUUUAUAUCUGGAAAACCAGCCGACUUAAUAGAUAAUAACAAUCUCCAGAUUGGGUUCCUUCAAUAAAUAUGGGCUAUAAACACAAUGAAAUAAGUUCCCCAAAAUCUAAAAUGGAGUGCUAUCAAAGGAGAA